AACGAACGCUGGCGGCAGGCCUAACACAUGCAAGUCGAGCGAAGCCUUCGGGCUUAGCGGCGGACGGGUGAGUAACGCGUGGGAACGUGCCCUUUUGUACGGAAUAGCCCCGGGAAACUGGGAGUAAUACCGUAUGUGGUCGAGAGACGACAGAUUUAUCGCCAAAGGAUCGGCCCGCGUUGGAUUAGGUAGUUGGUGGGGGAAUGGCCUACCAAGCCGACGAUCCAUAGCUGGUUUGAGAGGAUGAUCAGCCACACUGGGAUCUGAGACACGGCCCAGACUCCUACGGGAGGCAGCAGUGGGGAAUCUUAGACAAUGGGGGAAACGCUGAUCUAGCCAUGCCGCGUGAUCGAUGAAGGCCUUAGGGUUGUAAAGAUCUUUCUGUGGGGAAGAUAAUGACUGUACCCACAGAAGAAGCCCCGGCUAACUCCGUGCCAGCCGCCGCGGUAAUAC
rnacentral:rRNA from 1 species